rnacentral:rRNA from 1 species
GGCCGAGUGAUCGGCAGGUAGUAAGUGGCGCACGGGUGAGUAACGCGUGGAUAAUCUACCUCUGGUUUCGGGAUAACAUUGCGAAAGCGAUGCUAAUACCGGAUGAAGUCAUGAAGACUUGGGUUUUUGUGAUGAAAGAUGACCUCUGCACGCAAGUUGUUGAUUGGAGAUGAGUCCGCGUCCCAUUAGUUUGUCGGUGGGGUAACGGCCUACCGAGACUGCGAUGGGUAGCUGGUCUGAGAGGAUGAUCAGUCACACCGGAACUGGAACACGGUCCGGACUCCUACGGGAGGCAGCAGUGAGGAAUUUUGCGCAAUGGACGAAAGUCUGACGCAGCAACGCCGCGUGAGUGAAGAAGGCUUUCGGGUCGUAAAGCUCUGUCGGACGGGAAGAACCUGUGGAUGAGUAAUAUGCAUCUGCACUGACGGUACCGUCGAAGGAAGCACCGGCUAACUCCGUGCCAGCAGCCGCGGUAAUACGGAGGGUGCAAGCGUUAUUCGGAAUUAUUGGGCGUAAAGGGCGCGCAGGCGGUCUUUCAAGUCGGGUGUGAAAUCCCGGGGCUUAACCCCGGAAGUGCAUUCGAAACUGUAGGACUUGAGUAUGGGAGAGGGAAGCGGAAUUCCUGGUGUAGCGGUGAAAUGCGUAGAUAU